UACGUAGGGUGCAGGCGUUAAUCGGAAUUACUGGGCGUAAAGCGUGCGCAGGCGGUUUCUUAAGUCAGAUGUGAAAGCCCCGGGCUCAACCUGGGAACUGCGUUUGAAACUGGGAGACUGGAGUGUGGCAGAGGGGGGUGGAAUUCCACGUGUAGCAGUGAAAUGCGUAGAUAUGUGGAGGAACACCGAUGGCGAAGGCAGCCCCCCUGGGUUAACACUGACGCUCAUGCACGAAAGCGUGGGGAGCAAACAGG
rnacentral:rRNA from 1 species